rnacentral:lncRNA from 1 species
AAUCAGAGGCUGGGUGUGGGAAGUUCGGAUUCUGGGCGGCUCAGGUGUAGGCGGCACUGCUCUGAGGCGGCGGUGGCAGCGUCUCUCCAGACAGGGAGCGUUCCUUUCCUUUUGGUUUGACUGAGGUUUCACGCGACAGGCUGCCUGAGGAAGGCGGGUGCUGGGAGCUGGAGGAAGGGCGCUGGCUCGCCUCCUCCUAGAAGGAUGGCUGCAUCACAUUUUGCCAGUUAACUGAGAAAGGAUUUAAGUAUUGAGAUGAUUAGAGCUAAAAUUGCUGAGGAGAGAUUUCUCUCUCAGAAAGCAGACAGAUAUGAUAAAUAUGAACGAAAAAGACACUCUGGUUUGACGGAUGUCAACCUUCCAACCUUGGAAGGUAGAAAUCUUGAAUCAGAGGAGACAUCUCAAGAGCCUAUUCCAGAAGAGAUGAGUGUGAGGCAAAGACCAGUGAAAUAUGCAGCCCAAGGGCCUUCUUUACAGGGAGACGAGCUUUACACUGAGUGACAUGAGAAGCCAUUGUUGGAUUCGUGUGUUUAUAAUCUGCUUUAUGUUUUAAAGCAUCACUUAUGGAUGGUAGGGUGACCAGCAUGGCCUCCAGGAGACCAGCUAGGAGACAACUGCAAUAAUUUAGCUCAUGGCUGACCACAGUGGGAACGGCAACCCUGGGUGGUUUCAUUCUGGAUAUAUUUUGAAGUUU